UGUGAGCUCGAUGAGUAGGGCGGGACACGUGGUAUCCUGUCUGAAUAUGGGGGGACCAUCCUCCAAGGCUAAAUACUCCUGACUGACCGAUAGUGAACCAGUACCGUGAGGGAAAGGCGAAAAGAACCCCGGCGAGGGGAGUGAAAAAGAACCUGAAACCGUGUACGUACAAGCAGUGGGAGCACGCUUAGGCGUGUGACUGCGUACCUUUUGUAUAAUGGGUCAGCGACUUAUAUUCUGUAGCAAGGUUAACCGAAUAGGGGAGCCGAAGGGAAACCGAGUCUUAACUGGGCGUUAAGUUGCAGGGUAUAGACCCGAAACCCGGUGAUCUAGCCAUGGGCAGGUUGAAGGUUGGGUAACACUAACUGGAGGACCGAACCGACUAAUGUUGAAAAAUUAGCGGAUGACUUGUGGCUGGGGGUGAAAGGCCAAUCAAACCGGGAGAUAGCUGGUUCUCCCCGAAAGCUAUUUAGGUAGCGCCUCGUGAAUUCAUCUCCGGGGGUAGAGCACUGUUUCGGCAAGGGGGUCAUCCCGACUUACCAACCCGAUGCAAACUGCGAAUACCGGAGAAUGUUAUCACGGGAGACACACGGCGGGUGCUAACGUCCGUCGUGAAGAGGGAAACAACCCAGACCGCCAGCUAAGGUCCCAAAGUCAUGGUUAAGUGGGAAACGAUGUGGGAAGGCCCAGACAGCCAGGAUGUUGGCUUAGAAGCAGCCAUCAUUUAAAGAAAGCGUAAUAGCUCACUGGUCGAGUCGGCCUGCGCGGAAGAUGUAACGGGGCUAAACCAUGCACCGAAGCUGCGGCAGCGACGCUUAUGCGUUGUUGGGUAGGGGAGCGUUCUGUAAGCCUGCGAAGGUGUGCUGUGAGGCAUGCUGGAGGUAUCAGAAGUGCGAAUGCUGACAUAAGUAACGAUAAAGCGGGUGAAAAGCCCGCUCGCCGGAAGACCAAGGGUUCCUGUCCAACGUUAAUCGGGGCAGGGUGAGUCGACCCCUAAGGCGAGGCCGAAAGGCGUAGUCGAUGGGAAACAGGUUAAUAUUCCUGUACUUGGUGUUACUGCGAAGGGGGGACGGAGAAGGCUAUGUUGGCCGGGCGACGGUUGUCCCGGUUUAAGCGUGUAGGCUGGUUUUCCAGGCAAAUCCGGAAAAUCAAGGCUGAGGCGUGAUGACGAGGCACUACGGUGCUGAAGCAACAAAUGCCCUGCUUCCAGGAAAAGCCUCUAAGCAUCAGGUAACAUCAAAUCGUACCCCAAACCGACACAGGUGGUCAGGUAGAGAAUACCAAGGCGCUUGAGAGAACUCGGGUGAAGGAACUAGGCAAAAUGGUGCCGUAACUUCGGGAGAAGGCACGCUGAUAUGUAGGUGAAGUCCCUCGCGGAUGGAGCUGAAAUCAGUCGAAGAUACCAGCUGGCUGCAACUGUUUAUUAAAAACACAGCACUGUGCAAACACGAAAGUGGACGUAUACGGUGUGACGCCUGCCCGGUGCCGGAAGGUUAAUUGAUGGGGUUAGCGCAAGCGAAGCUCUUGAUCGAAGCCCCGGUAAACGGCGGCCGUAACUAUAACGGUCCUAAGGUAGCGAAAUUCCUUGUCGG
rnacentral:rRNA from 1 species